rnacentral:rRNA from 1 species
CUACGGGGUGCACCAGUGGGGAAUCUUGGACAAUGGGCGCAAGCCUGAUCCAGCCAUGCCGCGUGAGUGAAGAAGGCCUUAGGGUCGUAAAGCUCUUUCGCCAGAGAUGAUAAUGACAGUAUCUGGUAAAGAAACCCCGGCUAACUCCGUGGCCAGCAGCCGCGGUAAUACGGAGGGGGUUAGCGUUGUUCGGAAUUACUGGGCGUAAAGCGCGCGUAGGCGGAUUAGUCAGUCAGAGGUGAAAUCCCAGGGCUCAACCCUGGAACUGCCUUUGAUACUGCUAGUCUUGAGUUCGAGAGAGGUGAGUGGAAUUCCGAGUGUAGAGGUGAAAUUCGUAGAUAUUCGGAGGAACACCAGUGGCGAAGGCGGCUCACUGGCUCGAUACUGACGCUGAGGUGCGAAAGUGUGGGGAGCAAACAGGAUUAGAUACCCCUGUAGUC